rnacentral:lncRNA from 1 species
AAAACAUAGAAGUAUUUAUACAAAAAUAAAUGUGCCAAACUAAAUUUUAAAAGUCAAGAAUUAGAGGUUUUGUUAAUAGAACUCUAGUUGGCUCAGCUCCAUAAUAAAUGAUCAGUUUUUAGUUUGGGACAGGUUACUGGUGUCAUUCCAUUCAACUGAAACCCUUACUGUAACUUGGCUACGUGGGUAACCUUAAAACAGGGAGCCAACUCUCUAAGUAUAUAGUGAAUAACCACACUACAGGAAUAUUUCCCAUUUAGAAUGACAAAACUGUGGGUUACAGGUAAUUCAGCUUAAAGUUCCUUUCUGGGGCAAGAAGUUGUUAUUUGUUCUUUCAUUUUAGGUUAUUCUAUCAGAUCUGUACAUUGGAAGCUUUCUUCUAACUUAUGCUGCAGCCAAGCAGUGCAAUUUUUUUUAUAUCUUUACCUAGAUGGCGUGCAUAUUCAUAAAAUUUUUUGGUCCUUUUGCACAGUUUCAGGAAUGCAAUCUCAGUGUAAACCCUGGAAUUUGGAGUGAUCUGGUAAAUUAGUUUGUGGAACGGAAGAGUGAUCAUACACCAUUUCUGGAACCAAGAGAUUUUCCUUAUCCUAUAAAGUGGUGACUGGGGGUUGCCUUGUGGGAUCAGAAGGGCAUUUCCCUCAGGAGUGCAAGGCAGUGGAGUAGGCCUGGUGAAUAUUUGUUCUUCCUGUCAUCCAUUUUGAAGGGCAUAAUCCCAAGGAAAUCAGUGGGAGUUUUAAUAAGGAUGUUGGAGACCAGACAUGCCUACAUAUGUAAAAAAAAAUUCGAUCACUGAUCUUAGCCUUUCCUUAUGGCUGAAAUGGCAUUCAACAGAUGACUGCAAAUGCUUGUGUUCAACUCCAGGAUCUAAAUUUCCGAAACAAGGAAGCACACACAGACUCCAAAAGACUCGCAUCUUUCAGAACACGCCCUUAGCAGCAUGAGGAGGAGAAGGAUAGCCGAUCACUCUUGAAAAGGCCCUUCAGCACUCCAAAAACCCCACUAUGAGGGUCAUAACCACUUGUUGGUAUCAGCAUCACUUUUAGAGCUACCACCGAAGAUGCCGAAGAACAACAGAGAGAAGAAAGAUGCCUUAAGUCAGAUGGGACGUAUUGCAUUGUUGAGGAAUAGUAUAACCACACACAAAAACCG